UUUUGUUUAAAUAUUUUGUUAAUUUUUUCUUUAAAACGGCUACCUGACCUGUGUGUGUUUUUUCUGCUCUGAGUCACCGCAACUUCAUUUCCUGCCACGUAGCACUAGUGCAUGUGAGAAGAGAGUGCUAACCUUAUUUUAAUGCAUAAACGAUAAAAAAAAAUCUAUGUUUCCAUUUUAUCAAAUGUAUGCCCACUCACUUCCAGAAAGACAUGCUUGCAAGCUGCAAGCGAGAUGUGUGUUAUGAGUGUGUCAAACAAUCCAGACCAGAACUGUAAAGCAGAGUAGGUCCAGAACACUUGUUAGUAGUUGUUUUGUUGCUUUUUUAGAAUGUGUCUAUUGACUUCUAGUCCACACUAACAGCACAGACCCAGAAUGUCAGUUUCAAUCACGAAUGUACUUAGAUUGUUUGUACUUAGAUAUAUAUGUAUCCUAACUGGAUGUGUUGGUGUUUGUUAUUAUGUGUUUAUUGCUAAAAACAUUACCAUAAUACAUCAGAAAAAACCAAUGUAGAGCAGGAAUUUCACCAGGGUCUGGACUAAUUCAAAAUCAUGGAUCCGCCAUAACAAUUAAAAAGUAAGAAUAUGGCAGAUUUAUACGUGCUGUAUUUUAACUAUUUAAAUGCACACUAAUAAACAAUCAGUUGUAAUGAACAGAUAAUUAACUGCUAACGUUUCAGUCAAAGCAGGGUACUGACUGUUAUCAAAAGGUCAACCGAAUAGAUAACAUGUCCGUUAAAAAAGUGACUGAUAUACAUGAAAACUGCUGAAAUUCUGACAAGCAACUCUUGAAAUCUAUCUAUGGCAUCCACUGCACUUCUCUAGGGAGGUAGAAAGCAAAGGCCCUCUUCACUGAUAAGAGCAUCUUGAAAUGAAUUAGUCACCCUUUGGCAAAGCACCUAGUGUGGAUGCAUUUUUAGGAAGAAUUCGAUCAAAAACCAAGUUACAUAUCGCAUUGGAUGUACGCACUGGACACAACAUACAGUACAUACUUUGAAACUCUUAAAUAAGCAGAUGCCUCUCCCUGCACCAGAAGGACCAGGACUAGGUGC